UACAGAGGUCUCAAGCGUUGUUCGGAUUCAUUGGGCGUAAAGGGCGCGUAGGCGGCGGGGCAAGUCGGGUGUGAAAUCUCAGAGCUCAACUCUGAAACUGCACUCGAUACUGCUUUGCUAGAGGACUGGAGAGGAGAUUGGAAUUCACGGUGUAGCAGUGAAAUGCGUAGAGAUCGUGAGGAAGACCAGUGGCGAAGGCGGAUCUCUGGACAGUUCCUGACGCUGAGGCGCGAAGGCCAGGGGAGCAAACGGG
rnacentral:rRNA from 1 species